UGGAGAGUUUGAUCCUGGCUCAGGACGAACGCUGGCGGCAUGCCUAAUACAUGCAAGUCGAGCGGACUUGAUGAGAAGCUUGCUUCUCWGAURGUUAGCGGCGGACGGGUGAGUAACACGUAGGCAACCUGCCCUCAAGCUUGGGACAACUACCGGAAACGGUAGCUAAUACCGAAUAGUUGUUUUCUUCGCCUGAAGRRAACUGGAAAGACGGAGCAAUCUGUCACUUGGGGAUGGGCCUGCGGCGCAUUAGCUAGUUGGUGGGGUAACGGCUCACCAAGGCGACGAUGCGUAGCCGACCUGAGAGGGUGAUCGGCCACACUGGGACUGAGACACGGCCCAGACUCCUACGGGAGGCAGCAGUAGGGAAUCUUCCGCAAUGGGCGAAAGCCUGACGGAGCAAUGCCGCGUGAGUGAUGAAGGUUUUCGGAUCGUAAAGCUCUGUUGCCAGGGAAGAACGCUUGGGAGAGUAACUGCUCUCAAGGUGACGGUACCUGAGAAGAAAGCCCCGGCUAACUACGUGCCAGCAGCCGCGGUA
rnacentral:rRNA from 1 species